rnacentral:rRNA from 1 species
AUUGAACGCUGGCGGCAGGCCUAACACAUGCAAGUCGAGCGAGCGGCGGACGGGUGAGUAAUGUAUGGGGAUCUGCCCGAUGGAGGGGGAUAACUACUGGAAACGGUGGCUAAUACCGCAUACUAUCGGAUGCACCCAUAUGUGAUUAGCUAGUAGGUGGGGUAAAGGCUUACCUAGGCGACGAUCGCUAGCUGGUCUGAGAGGAUGAUGAGCAACACCGGGACGGAGAAACGGCCAAGACGCCUACGGGAGGCAGCAGUGGGAAAAAUUGUACAAUGGUCGCAAGCCUGAUGCAGCCAUGCCGCGUGUAUGAAGAAGGCCUUCGGGUUGUAAAGUAAUUUCAGCGGGGAGGCGUUAACCGCAGAAGAAGCACCGGCUAACUCAGUGCCAGCAGCCGCGGUAAUAC